GAUGAAGAACGUAGCGAAAUGCGAUAAGUAAUGUGAAUUGCAGAAUUCAGUGAAUCAUCGAAUCUUUGAACGCACAUUGCGCCCGUCAGUAUUCUGGCGGUCAUGCCUGUUCGAGCGUCAUUACGCCCCUCAAGUCCCCUGUGGACUUGGUGUUGGGGAUCGGCGAGGCUGGUUUUCCAGCACAGCCGUCCCUUAAAUUAAUUGGCGGUCUCGCCGUGGCCCUCCUCUGCGCAGUAGUAAAACACUCGCAACAGGAGCCCGGCGCGGUCCACUGCCGUAAAACCCCCCAACUUUUUAUAGUUGACCUCGAAUCAGGUAGGACUACCCGCUGAACUUAAGCAUAUCAAUAAGCGGAGGA
rnacentral:misc_RNA from 1 species